GAGAGAGAGAGAGAGAGAACCAAAACUGAGCUAUACCUAUUGUAAGAGGUUCAAAUAGGGAUAAAAAGAACACACCUAAACUAGAACAGUUUGGCAAGUAAAGGACACAAAGAUAUAAUUCUUUGGAUUCACUGAAAAAAACCAAGCAAAAUAAAAUCAUCCGCUGAAGCUGAAGUAAACAGAAUUUUUUAACUUUACACUCUGGGUUUAUCCCAAUUUUUAAUUCCCUUAAUUUAUCUUUUUCCAUUUAUCUUAUCCGAGACAGAAACUUUUUUCUUUGUACUCUUCUAAGAAGCAAACAACUUCAGAAUUUUCUUAGUCUUAACCAGAAAAGCCAAUCUGAAGAUGAAGAUCUCUGUCAACACAAAAACGAGUAAAUGGAGGUAAAAAAGAUCACUUGAAUUAGAGUAGAAAAUAAAGAAAGAAAAGCUAGAUCAAACAAGAUCCAGUCACCAACUAAGCAUAUGGAAACAGAAACUCAUACUGAAGGUAACCCAAAUUCAGAAAGAAAGCAAAAUGAGAGAAGGUGGGGAAGUUGGAAAAGCUAUAAAUGACCUUAUCGGAAUCCAUAUAGAAGC
rnacentral:misc_RNA from 1 species